rnacentral:siRNA from 1 species
UCGUAGAUGAGAGGAUCGCCUCA